AUUUUCAGCACAUUUGCCACAGGCGGGCGGAGCUAAGGAGGCUGAGACGGGGGGAUGCUGCUGGAAGCAGGCGCACACCGCGGAUGUUUACGAAAUACACUUUUCUGGGGAGGAACGGAGGAAGCUUGCUAAGAGAUUUAUGUCGUCGUGAGGAGUCAAAUUCAGCUCUAGGACGGUUGUGUGUGUAUUCUGAAUCGCGGACUACACAGAUUGGAGCCCCGCUGCUCAGGGGGCUUGACAGGCUGCGAAGGACUCCGUCUGUCGUGUCGCUUCAGGUUGCGACGAUGUGAUGCUCCAUCGCUGGGUCGACGGCCAAAGCCUUGUCCCUGAAGCCUGGUAUUAUGCAGGGAACGAGCGGCACUGGGCGGAUUAAAAAGGAACAAAGCACCGGUUUAGGAAACGUUUUGCAAAGUGGCAGUAUUAGGCAACUAUGGUCGAUCCCUCGGAGGCUGAGGAGCAGAAUAAGUGUAAAGGCCCACAGCUCGACACACCCACUGUCGCCCCUGAAGACCCUCGCCUGCCAGAACAGGCUGAUGAUUCGACAACAGAGGAGGAUGGGGAUGUCGGUUUUGAGACGCCACCCACCGGCAGCUCUGAGCCGAGCCCCUGCCACACUGCAUCCACAGCGGGGCCCGGCACCACCUCUCAGGAGGCCCCGCCUCAGCCGCCACAGACUCAGACAGAUCUGUCGCCCAAGAUGCACCUGGACUUGUACAACUUUGACUCACCGGCUGCAGAGGGUAGCCGCUAUGUGCUUACAAGCCCCCGCUCUCUGGAAGCGUGUGCUCGAUGUGGGGUCAAACCUGUAGAGCUGCUGCCCCGCCCACUCACUGACUUUGUGCGGGAGGCCCCCGGUCACUCCAUGCGUGUUGCCGCAGGGCUGUUUGAGGUUUACGAGAGGGGCAGGCAUGCCAAACUGAGGCAGUGCAGGGAGGAGAGAGAGAGGAUUGUUAGAGAGGAAAAGAGGAGGAUUCUGCAGGCAGCGGUCAAUAGCAGUAGCAGUGCACCACCCCCCUCUGUGGACAAAAGUCAGCCUCCUAAACCUGUACCAGUGACCUCCAGCUCAGCCCCUACUGCCGGAGCAUCCGCUAGAGUCACAGCUUCAGCUCCACCUUCUACAAAAGCUGCUGUUCUUUUCUCUAAAGCCUCGGCAUGCAGUCUUAGCACCUCCCCUAAAUCUGUAUAUGCAGGGGCUACUCACUCCUCAAAGACUGGCUCUUCAACCUCUACACCAGCCUCCAAGGGUGGAUUUCAAGAAUCUGCCAAGCAUCCUUUGCCCUCAUCUACCGAACUAGUUAAAACCGCUCGCCCGCUCUCAUCUGGUGCUGCCCCAGUAGUCAAGAAGUCCUGUGUUGGUAAAUCUUCAAACACUUUUCCCAGACCAACCCCUAAACCACCCUCUUUCUCCAGAGCCCACACCACAUUAACAUCAUCAGUGUCAAAGUCUGCAGUUCAGAGCUCUGGGAUGCCUCUGAACGGUGUGUCAGGAGGACCGUUCUCUCAGCACAACGGACAUCUUGGAUUCCAUUGCCAGGUGAAAGCAAAAAGUCAUUCACUGGAGUCUUUACAGCGAAGGAAGGAUCACAUGUGCUGCUCCACUUCCACCACCACGACUACCACAACAUACACCUCAUCAGAGUCAGGUGCUUCCUCUUCUUAUAGCUGGGAUAGUGCACGUGAUCACUGGGCCAAAGUCUCGAGCCCUCGAGCUCGCACUCUGGCCACGUUCAACUCCCUGAUGGGCCGCAGCCUCAGCCUGGGGGACCUGAGCCACUCUCCUCAGACAACACAGAAGGUGGAGCGUAUAGUGAAGGAGGUGAAACGUCGAGGCCUGAAGGCCGUGCCUGAGCGAGACCGCAAGAUUGCAGCUUUGAUGCUUGCUAGAUACCAAGAGGAAGACAUCAUGAACCAGACUCGUUAUGUGGCUCACCUUCAGUGGGACAGUGAGCGCAGAAUGGAGGAGCUACGGCGAGAGCAGGAGGAGAGGGAGAAGCAGCGUGCAGUGCUCGAGUGCCAGCGAGUGUGGCAGACGCAGGUGGCGACACGUCAGCGAAGACUCAGCCAGCAGGAACGAGAAGCAGUGGCUGUCAAACUACGACAAGCUGAGGAGAGUGAGGAGCGAUGGAGGGAGCUCGCAGAGCAGCAGGAGCGCAGCCGUCUGCUGAGGUUACAGCAGGCAGCACGGGAGGGGAAACAUAAGAAGGCUCUCCAGGAACAGAACCUGAAGGCUCUGGAGGAGGAGAGGGCUGCCAUGUUGGAGCAGGAGAGACUGCUGCUGAAAGAAAAGCUCACCGUGGCUGAGCUGAAGAGGCAGGAGAAGGAGCACCAGGCCCAGGAGGAGAGACGAGGUCUGAACAAAGCAGAGAAGAGACGUCACGCCGCCCUGAUACAAGAAAUUGCUCGGAGAGAGCAGGAGGAGCGGGAGGAGGUCAAGAGGGCAGCAGAGGAGAAGCUCAGCCGCUCUCUGGAGAAUUAUGAACAGCUAGUUGAGCGUCGAGGGCAAGAGAUGAAAGAGAAGGCCAAGCGGGAGGAAAAGCAGAUCCAGAAAGCACGCAAGGCAGCGGAGAAGCGCGAGAAGCUGCAGCAACAGCUGGUGGAGGCUCGUGUGAAAGAGGCAGAGAAACGAGCCCAGCAGGCGGCUUUAGUGGCUGAGGAGAGGGCCAGAGAGAAAGCUCAGCGAGCCACCCAGACCCGGCAGGAGAAGGAAAGACUCCAGAGAUUCAACCGGCAGCGUGUGGAGGAGGAGGAGAAGCAGAGGCGUCUGGACCUGCUGCAGUCCAUCGAGAGGAAGCUAGAGAAGAGUGAGCAGAUCUUCAGGGAGAAGAGGGCCGUGCUGGAGAGCGCCCGCUCCGUGGCCCGAGCCUCAUUUCAUGUGCGAGAUAAAGUACGAGAAGAGACCAACAUGCGUACCUUUGAUAAAAUGGCCCUGGAGGCUCAGCUCAAAGCCAGCCUGGAUGAAAAAUAGGCCCACAGCUUUGUUGUGAGCUUUACUUCUGGCCAUGUGCUUGGCUCUUGCCUUCAUUAUGGCCUCAUCACUCAGCAGCUUUACCCUUCACCCCCUCACUUGUUUUUUCCUUGACCAUUUUCAUCCUCUCAAAGCAGACCAAAUCAUUUUGUGCCAUGGCUAUAAAGAGACUAUAAACAGUAUCAUCAGCUGCCCAGGUGGGACAUACAAUAGACUUCAUAUUAGAACCCUUCCUCUCUCCUCCUCUCUGCCCUCUGCUCUGUCUUUCUCAGCUACUGGACUGAAAGCUGUGCUGGAAUGAAAAGAGUUUGCCAAGAGCACAACUCCAUGACAACUGCAGAGGCUUUCAAAGGAGCACUCCUAUGACCGUAAACAGUGAAGCAUUCUGAGGGACAGCCGCCUGUCGACCUCCCUGCAGCCACAUGAUGUCCAUGUCAGGGUCCACAGCAGGUCCCAGUGAUGUCACCCCAACAGAACACUUCUUACUGUAGGCAAGU